GGGGUUGUGGCUCAGUGGUAGAGCAUUUGCCUAGCAUGCAUGAGGCACUGGGUUCGAUUCCCAGAACCGCA
rnacentral:tRNA from 1 species